rnacentral:rRNA from 1 species
CGGGAGGCAGCAGUUAGGAAUCUUCGGCAAUGGGGGAAACCCUGACCGAGCGACACUGCUUGGAGGAUGAAGGUUUUCGGAUCGUAAACUCCUGAACGAGGGACGAAAAAUGACGGUACCUCGCUAAUAGCACCGGCUAACUCCGUGCCAGCAGCCGCGGUAAUACGGAGGGUGCAAGCGUUAUCCGGAAUCACUGGGCGUAAAGGGCGCGUAGGUGGUUUGUUAAGUCCGAUGUUAAAGACCGAGGCUCAACCUCGACACGGCGUUGGAUACUGGCAAGCUGGACGGUUGGAGAGGAAGGUAGAAUUACCAGUGUAGCGGUGGAAUGCGUAGAUACUGGUAGGAAUACCCAUUGCGAAGGCAGCCUUCUGGACAACACGUGACGCUGAGGCGCGAAAGUGUGGGGAGCAAACCGGAUUAGAUACCCGGGUAGUCCACACCCUAAAC